rnacentral:rRNA from 1 species
GAUCAUGGCUCAGGAUGAACGCUGGCGGCGUGCCUAAUACAUGCAAGUCGAGCGAACGGAUAAGGAGCUUGCUCCUUUGAAGUUAGCGGCGGACGGGUGAGUAACACGUGGGUAACCUACCUAUAAGACUGGAAUAACUUCGGGAAACCGGAGCUAAUGCCGGAUAACAUUUGGAACCGCAUGGUUCUAAAGUAAAAGAUGGUUUUGCUAUCACUUAUAGAUGGACCCGCGCCGUAUUAGCUAGUUGGUAAGGUAACGGCUUACCAAGGCAACGAUACGUAGCCGACCUGAGAGGGUGAUCGGCCACACUGGAACUGAGACACGGUCCAGACUCCUACGGGAGGCAGCAGUAGGGAAUCUUCCGCAAUGGACGAAAGUCUGACGGAGCAACGCCGCGUGAGUGAUGAAGGUUUUCGGAUCGUAAAACUCUGUUAUUAGGGAAGAACAAAUGUGUAAGUAACUGUGCACAUCUUGACGGUACCUAAUCAGAAAGCCACGGCUAACUACGUGCCAGCAGCCGCGGUAAUACGUAGGUGGCAAGCGUUAUCCGGAAUUAUUGGGCGUAAAGCGCGCGUAGGCGGUUUCUUAAGUCUGAUGUGAAAGCCCACGGCUCAACCGUGGAGGGUCAUUGGAAACUGGGAAACUUGAGUACAGAAGAGGAAAGUGGAAUUCCAUGUGUAGCGGUGAAAUGCGCAGAGAUAUGGAGGAACACCAGUGGCGAAGGCGACUUUCUGGUCUGUAACUGACGCUGAUGUGCGAAAGCGUGGGGAUCAAACAGGAUUAGAUACCCUGGUAGUCCACGCCGUAAACGAUGAGUGCUAAGUGUUAGGGGGUUUCCGCCCCUUAGUGCUGCAGCUAACGCAU